UACGUAGGGUGCAAGCGUUGUCCGGAAUUAUUGGGCGUAAAGAGCUCGUAGGCGGUCUGUCGCGUCGGCUGUGAAAACCCGGGGCUCAACCCCGGGCCUGCAGUCGAUACGGGCAGACUAGAGUGCGGUAGGGGAGACUGGAAUUCCUGGUGUAGCGGUGAAAUGCGCAGAUAUCAGGAGGAACACCGAUGGCGAAGGCAGGUCUCUGGGCAUUAACUGACGCUGAGGAGCGAAAGCAUGGGGAGCAACAGG
rnacentral:rRNA from 1 species